ACGGAACCAGAAAUCAACCCAAAUAUAGGUUCUUUUCACUCAUAUCGGCUCUUCCGUGCGAGAACCCAAAUUUGGCUAUACCGCAUUAAAGCUCUGAGUGGGUAGUUUCCGUUUGAUGCCGGCAGAAAAUUGCAACCCAUCGCAUAGUUCAUUCUACCUAGCGUUAACUUUCGAAGUACCCUAGCGGGUUGAAAUAAACCCACUUUUGGGUAAACGGCAAAAAACCCAAAUUUGGCUUCUCGCACGGACAUUAUCGGCUAGGUAGCUGCUUCUCGCUUUGUUUUUGACAACAAUGCGAGCGGGAGAGCGAGGAAACAACCCACUGCUGGGUAAAAAGUUCAAGCGGUAUACGUAUUUUUGCGUUCUUUUAACGUAUUUUUUUAGGUAAUCUGUUUUUUUUUCCGUGCAUAAUUGUUAUUGGAUUUUCCGAUGAAAAUUUCUUUGGAAAUUUCACAUGAAAACAAUGUGAAAACUUUUUUUAGUGUAGUUCACAUUGGAAUUUUCAGAAACGUCAAAUCAGUUUUUUUUUUAACCACAGUCGAGCUUCUCAGCUGAAUCAAGUCCAAGUAGGUAGCAACAUUCUAUUUUAAUUAAUCUUUUCAUUGUAGGCUUUCUCUACCACAAUCGGAACAAGUGAAAACAAUUCAUUAAACGUUUAGGCAUCAGUUCGUAUUUUGUUUGCAUCUGUAUUCGACUGGAACCUAAAAAAAAUUACGGAUGAGACCGACGUGACACUGAGUACAAAAGGAAACAAAACUUAGUACAUCGGUCACUAGUCCGAUAUUGGAACACUCCGAGCCAUCCACAACCACCGCCAUCAUAGUGUCGCCUGAAACGACGUUCGAUGCUUUCUUACUCGGAACAAAUCCCUCGGCAAAUGAAGGACGCUGCUAGUAACAUAAGUAUCAAUUAAUAACCGCUGAAGUUCUUUUUUUCUCGUUUUGUUGGGCUCAUACUCACAAUAUUUAUUGUUUCUUUAGGUUCACGGCUUGUUGAUCCAGUUUUGCAACGCUCAGGGCCUGACGAUUUAUUGAGAAUCGACGGACGACUUUCUCGGGGAGCUGGUGCCUGUACUGACUGUUCUGAUUUCGCCGAAUCAAGCUUAUUCAUUAAGAGGAAAGGCAGUGGUGCGCCCGAGAUUUGUCUGUGGUGUUCUCUGGUGCGCGCGGCUAACUAUUUUAGCAUUUUUGGCAAUUAUUGGUCAAAUUUUUAAGGAUUUGGAAUCAAUCCGUCUCUUCGAAAUUGAUUGAAGAUCAUUUUCUGUGAAGAAACCAUUUUGAUUAGACUUUUAGUUUUGGCUGGAAUGUCUUUUUAGUGACGAAAAACUUCCAACAUCUUAUGACAUUUCUAUCUAUUUUUUGUGCCAGAGACCGAUUUCGGCCAAAUUUCGAAAAUCGGAAACAAUCCGUCGAUAGAGAAUUUCAUAAAGAAUAAUCUAAUUGAAUAAAAAUUACGAUAAAAAAUCUCUGAAAUUCUCGAAGCUCUUUAGAAUCCGCAUCAAUAAUUAGCAAAAAUCUCAUAAAUCUUAUCAUUUCUUGAGGUACGAUCGCCUCGAAACGACCGAUGAACCCAUCGGAGCAGACCAAUGAAUUCAUGGAGUAAUCCAUGUAGCAGAAUAAAUCAUCGCUCAAUUCGGAAGGAUUCUACAAAUUCUUCUAUUUUGAAAUAUAUAAAUAGUAUAUAUUUAGCAAAAACUAUGAUAAAAGAAAAAUAAAUUCUUUCGAAACCA